ACAUAUAUAUUAUUGUUCUCGCAUGUACAUUUGUAAACGGACUGGAGAUCGGGACGGCGCGUUGUAUUUUUUGUACAUGCACACGUGAGAAAGAAAGGUGGAAAAAAGGGCUGGAAGGUGAGAAAAAAAAGAAAAAGAAAAAAUCGCAAUUUAAGAUUAUAUAAUUCGUUGAUAAAACACUGAUAUCGUAGUGUGUUGUUAUACUCCUUUCCUCUCCCGAGAGUUACACAGUCACGGAAAGCCAGUGUUUGUUAUAUAAGAUACAUAUAGAUUAGAUUAUUGCGGUUAUAUGUGCACGGAGGAGAUGUAUCUAAUCUAAUGCGAUUAUAAGCGCGUGUCAGCCAAUCAGCAAGUAAUAAAUAUUGUAAGAACAUGAAGUGUGAACUGGACGACUCCAGUGAAGCCAGAGACGCAGGAUCAAUAACGCGGGCAAUAACGGAUUUACAUUUUGCAUAGACGCAGCCCUAUCGCCUUACAGACAGCGUGUCUCUCUUAAAGAAUUGAAACCAGGCAGGGCUUCCUUUGGUGGUUGCGCGGCAGCGGUGAUUGCGGCGGCAGCCUCUUAAACCGGCUCUGACGCGAACAAACGUCGCAGCGUAUCGAUAGGAGCAACACGAUGAAGCGAAAUAAUUUAAACAAAGAUUUGGCUGUGUCGAUGUCAUAACGUCUGUAUAUUUUGAUUUUCUAUCGUUCCUUCUUUUUUGUACCUUUAUCUAAAUCGCGAGCUUUCAAGGAAGAUAACAAAAGAGCGAGAAUACGCGGAUUACGAGACAGAAUUCGAGGUGUGGAAGCGAGAGUGGGAAAGCGAGGACAAAGAUAAAAGCGAGAGAAACAGGACGAAAGAGAGAGAAAGAGCGGAGAGAAAGGUGUGUAAGUAUGCGUGUGCAAACGAGAAAAGCUUGUUUUUAUCGCAUUUAACGUUCGGUAGUGGUUGAAUCUUCCCACAGAGGAACAUUCGAGAAACACUCGCUUUGUUAUGUUUCACGCGGCACAGGUAACAAAUGCGACCACACGUGUUAAAUUUGCGACGAAAGGAGUUUUAACGUCGAGGAGGGUACAGAGGAGGGCGGGGGGAGGAAGGGAAAAAGGGAAGUUGUUUCGCCGUUUUAUUUCCGACAAGUAAAAACUGCUGCGAAUAAUAUUGAGAACUUUCUAUUUUGUCACACAAACCGGACGUGUAUGAUAAACGUUAUUUCGUGAAAAAUCGAAGAACAACUCACAGUCAACACAAACAACGUCGCUUUUUUGUAACGACCGUUCACGAUAUAAAGAUAAACUUUUUCCGGAGUUGAUGCGCGCAUCAAGGAAGAUGCGCAACAACACUUUUUGAUCAUGUAGAUGUCCUUUUCAAAAUUUUGAUAUCCAUAUUAUAUAUACAACUAAACUUAUACAACCAUGUACAACCACCGACUGUUAAAUAAAGCCGUGGCCGACUGGGACAUUUGUAUGCGUUUACAACUUUAGCAGCGAGCUCGGACUGAUCGAUACUCACACACUCGAAACAAACAAAAACCGUAGACUGCACGAUUUCAUUUUCUCUUGGAUUACCACAGAGAGAGAGAGAGAGAGAGAGAGAGAGAGAGAGAGAGAGAGAGAGAGAGAGAGCGAGAGAAAGAGAGAAAGAGAAAGAGUUAGACGGGAGAAAUGCUUUUCGUCUCGUAAGCGUGUUCGAAACUAACGGGAUUAAUACGUGCACGUGUUGAUGAAUAUCAUCGUCUUUUCAUGCGGACCAGAAUAGAUAACUGCAAAGCAACUUAACGCGAUCAAUUUCUAAUAUAUAGCUGUUUCAAAAAGUGUACUUUUAGUAGUGACAACUAGAGUAAAAAAAAAAAAAACAAACAAACAAACAAAAAAUGUAAACACGUACACGUUGUCUUGAACCACAUUCAGGCGAAAUGAGAAAGACGAUUACAAUUAUUCUAAAUUGUUGUUUGAGAGACUUUUUGAUUUUGAAACCUAAAAAUUGUUACACAAUAUCGAACUUGGCUUAAAAUCGAUGUUAAAAAUAAAAAUUACACUUACUUGAAAUAUUAAUAUCUCGUCGAGAAAUAACAAAUGCGCGUUUAAAGUUUUUAAUAUAAAUUAUAUGAGGAACACACACACACAGAGUUGUGCGCUACUGUUAUGCAGUUUUUGAGAACAUCUAUAUCUUGCUCGUUUAUAUACAAUAUGAAGAUAGAGCACAAGGAGCACAUUUUUUGAUUGUUCGCCAGAUCGGCGUUUACGACGACUAUUACGAUAGCUAAUAUUAUAACGUGUGUAUGAAAUACGAUCGUGAUUUAUAGUAAGGUCACUAUUUUUUUCCGCGAAACUUUCUCAUUUUCAUACGAAUCAUCGUUCUUUCAUCACACAUCCCCGAUCACAUUUCGCGCAUUACCAAUUUCUCAUCAUACUUCGUCGCGAACGACAAUUCGCACAAUUCACAGACUUUGGAAUACAUGAAAAAAAAAAAAAAAUGUACAUGCUUUUGCACUAAAAACCUUAUAAGACUGACAGUUUUUUAUAUGAAUAUAAAUAAAAACGGAGCAGAGGAGAUGAAGAAGAUUUCAAACAAAAUUACAAAAAUUACGUUUGCGUAUUUUGUACAUUGUAAGAUCGUGUAAUAAGCUAAACGAGAAAACAAAACAAAUUGUAAACUGCGAGAGAUCAUUUUUUUUUUCACUGUAGAGAGAAAGAGAGAGAAAGAAAAAGAGAGAGAGAGAAGUUCGUAUUUCGAAAAUAUAAUCACACAGCCCACAGUUUUCUAAUGAUACACAAUUUUUGGCAAAGGGAGAAAGUGUCACUUAUUGUCUGUGUUACACACAAGUUUUCGAACAAAACAGAUCAAAAUUUCUAUACUCUGCGAAAAGUAUCCGUAUGGUUAAAAACAAAAACGCGCCGAGGUUAUAAUAAUUCUUAUCUCGAUAUUUUUCACUCUCUAGAGAUCUGUAUGUUUCGCGGAAAACGAAAAAAAAAAAAAAUUAGUAACGUCUCGAGAG